GGAACAGAUUAUGAACUUGUUAAUAUUCAAAAACCAGUAAACAACCACUCAAAGCAUAGAAGCCAAACGGUUCCGUUUUUCCCCCUCCUACAACAAUUGUGCAGUCAUGCUUAAGUCAAGUCGACAUUACAUGGUACAUAAUAACAAAUGUGAAACAUAAAGUAUAUGACUCUCUGUUUGAUUCAUCUUGCAACUCGAUUUUACAAAUUCAACAACCUUAGUGCACUCAAAUAUUCAUGUUCACCAUCUGUUAUUAAUCUCAGGUAUUGAAAUUUAAUUAUGCGCCCCUAUCUUCGUUCCCUUUACUUCCUGCACUUUUAGUCUUGCCAAUUUUGCAUCCAGUCACACUUUGCCCAGGAGUGUAAAUGGUUUUCAGGCCCUUCUUUAUGAUUUUCAGCGCCAAUGAUUUUAGUGGAACUGUAAUAUCCAGAGGCAAAAGGACAUCUUCCAACUCAUGCCAGUCAAGAUCUUCGAAGUCACCAUCUUCAUACACCACUCUGUACCAGCCAGUUUCCUUGUCAAACUGAGCCACAGUACCAGUAUAGUAUUGGCCUCCAAACAACUUUUGAACUUCCCUUCCUUCCAACCAUUCACCAAAAACAGCAUUUUCAAGAAAUUCUGCAGCUAGACUUGUGUUUCUUUGUGAUUCUGCAUCACUCACAGUGCUUGAGAGAACAACAGAACUGUCAUCUGGAGAGAUUUCUGGCAACCCAUUGAUAAAAAUGGCAGGUUCCCCUAGCAACUCAAAAACACCGGUUGGUAAAGACUCUGAUUCUGGCUUUUUGCUGGUGUUAUCCAUGUCUAGUUCUAUGUCAAACAGCUUUUUAAGGAGUUAACAAUCUGAAAAUGCAAGGAAUGUCUAAAUGAUCCUUCAACAAGUAUAAUUCAACAGCUGGGAGCUUUAGAAUGUGAGUAACAAUUAAAUCAUACAUCAUACCAGAAAAAUAGAAUAUUUGGCCAGCACAUAAAAUGUGGAUACUGAAUACAUAGUCUCAAGUAUGCUCUCUUUCCCAAGUUAAAUGUCAGCCAGUCAAUUUAUUUCUGAUUGCCAGAAAGCCCUUUUUCAUUAGUAAGCUUUUUCCAUUGCUCUAGGCAAUUAGGCACAGGUGAUUUAUUAUGAAAAAUAAGUUUACCACGCCUUUGAUAAAAGAUAUUCUUUGAGUGCAGAUAUGAUGCACUCCCAUUUUCGAAAAAGCUGCAGCACAACAGCUAAACCAUAAAGUUUUUCGCAAUCCCAAUUUCAAUCUUACUUAACCUAACCUAACCUUGAGAUCUUCGAACCCUAGUAAGUCCUAAAAAUGCAGAUGUUAUCAAUCAGUCUUCCAUAUUUUUCUCAAGUUGACAAAGAGAGCUAAUAGUUUCUUUGAGCUCAUUGAGCUUUGCUCCAGAACAGGCUAUAUAGCCUUUUAAUAUUCAAUCUUUCUCCUUUUGCAUUCUCCAUAUUUCUCUUUUUUAAUUUUGAUAAAUGUUCAUUCAGUCCAAAAGAAGACUUUGGAGAUGGCUAAUCUGCAAUAAAGCCUAAACAUUACUUGAGCUACAAAUCAAAGAUGAAGUGCGCAUGGAAACACGAGAGAAAGAGAGAGAGAACUCUGCAGAUUGCUCAAAUACCAGCUGCUGAGAGUAAACAUAAAUUCCCUAAAUUCUCCAAAUUUCAAGUUGGGUAAGGUUCACCAUAAUCUCAAGAAUAAUCCUUGAGAUUGAUUUGAUCUGGAGCCAUUGAUAUUCUGUCUUCCACCCUACAGAUUUUAUUAUUUUGCUUUUCAACCACAAAUUUCAAAGACAUCUUUUGUACGUGGACAAGAAAAAGAAAACAAUAAUUCAGCUCAGGUUCUUCUUCUGAACCAAGUUUAGUAAAAUAACUCCCAUUCUCCAUAUGCACAAACACCUUGCAAAAACAGAAGUCCAAGAAAACCCUAAUUUGAUCAACCACAACCACUAGUAAUUCUAUAGACAACAAUUUGCAGUUUAGUCUUCAAGAAUUCUAAAAAACAAACAGCAAGUCAAAAAACUUUCUGAAAACUGAUUCUACGGUUCCUAAAAUAUCACCAAUCAGGAGAAGAAAAUUAAAAAGAGAGAGAAAAAAGAAGCUAGGAACAUGCAUACCAAACCACUGUAAUUGGCAACAUUCUGGAGUUGAUCUUCACCUCUCUGAGAUCUCCGAAUAGCAACCCAAACUAACUGCCUGAGUUGCAAAGAAAGAAAUCGGAAUCGCUGCUUUGCAGGAAGUUGAAACAGUUGCAGUUCCCAAAGCUUGUUUCAUUACCCUGCUUUCCAUUCCACCUGAAUUAAAUUAACUCCCCAGUAAAAACGCUCCGUUUCUGCUUAACCAACUAAACGACAUCGUUCACCAAAAACUCUCCCCCAUUAAACGCCGAAUUUUUGCUCAAGGCCCAUCGGACAAAUGAAUGAAGAUUAUAUCAAACACCUUGGACAGCCAAGUCCACCGUUUUCUGAGCUCUUCCGCUGUGCUCGACUGUGCCUUGUUCGGUCGUCUCCUCCAGCACUUCACCGAACACCGUCUUCCUCUUCAAGCGAAGCAACUACACGCGCGGCUCAUCCUCUUCUCGGUCACGCCAAGAAACUACCUUGCUUCCAAACUUGUUACUCUAUACGCCAAAACCAACGACCUAACCGACGCCCGUUCCGUGUUCGAUCGAAUUCCCCAUAAGAACACCUUUUCUUAUAAUGCCAUGCUCAUAUCUUAUUCCCUCCAUAACCGCCACGCAGACGCAUUGAAGCUUUUCUCGUCGUUAGCCUGUUCGAGUUCAUUGAAUGCGAGGCCUGACAAUGUCUCCAUUACUACUUUGUUAAAGUCACUGUCUGGUUUGUUGUUUAUUGAUGUUAAAUUGGGUAAGGAGGUUCAUGGUUUUGUUCUGAGACAGGGGUUCGAUGCUGAUGUUUUCGUCGAGAAUGCUUUGGUUACGUUUUAUUCGACUUGUGAUGAAUUGGUUUUAGCGAGAAGGGUGUUUGAUAAUGUGAGGGAGAGAGAUGUGGUGACGUGGAAUUCGAUGAUUGCGGGUUAUUCUCAGGGAGGGCUCUAUGAGGAAUGUAAAAGAUUGUAUAGGGAAAUGGUUGAUUUUUCGGGUUUUAGGCCUAACGGGAUCACUGUGGUCAGUGUCUUGCAAGCAUGCGGGCAAACAAUGGACCUUGUUUUUGGAAUGGAAGUUCAUAGGUAUCUUGUUGAUAAUCAGGUUGAAAUGGAUAUUUCCGUUUGUAAUGCUUUGAUUGGAUUUUAUGCAAAAUGUGGGAGCUUGGAUUAUGCUAGAGAAUUGUUUGAAUUGAUGAGUGAAAAGGAUGAAGUUACUUAUGGUGCUAUUAUAUCCGGAUUCAUGCUUCAUGGGCAUGUUGAUCAAAGUCUGGAUUUUUUUAGAGGAAUGAAAACUCAACUGUUAAGUACAUGGAACGUAGUUAUUUCAGGUUUGGUACAAAAUAAGCAGUAUGAGAAGGCAUUAGAUUUGGUUAGAGAAAUGCAGGUACUUGGUUUUCAACCAAAUGCUGUAACACUUUCGAGCAUACUUCCUGCCUUAUCAUGUUCUUCAAGUUUGAAAGGAGGGAAAGAGAUGCACGCUUAUGCUGUUAAAAAUGGUUAUGACGACAAUAUCUAUGUUGCAACUGCACUUGUUGAUAUGUAUGCAAAGUUAGGAUAUCUUGGUGGGGCACAGAGGAUGUUUGAUCAAUCAAAAAGUAGGAGCUUGAUUAUUUGGACUGCAAUAAUCUCAGCAUAUGCUGUCCAUGGAGAUGCUAAUUUGGCUCUUGGUCUUUUUCAUGAGAUGUUGAAUGGUGGAAUUCACCCUGAUCUAGUCACAUUUACUGCAGUGUUGACAGCUUGUGCUCAUUGCGGAAUGGUGGAUGGAGCUUUCGAGAUCUUUGAGGCUAUGUUUAAGAAAUAUGGCAUUCAGCCUUUGGCAGAGCAUUAUGCUUGCGUGGUAGUUGCUCUAAGCAGGGCAGGGAGGCUCUCUGAAGCUAAGGAGUUUGUUUCUAAAAUGCCAAUAGAGCCAAAUGCGAAAGUUUGGGGCGCAUUACUGCAUGGAGCUUCUGUUUCUGGUGAUGUUGAACUUGGCAAGUUCAUUUGUGAUCAUUUGCUUGAAAUUGAACCAGAAAAUACCGGCACUUAUGUCAUCAUGGCCAAUUUGUAUUCCCAGGCAGGGAAAUGGAAAGAAGCUGAUGAGGUCAGAGAAAGGAUGAAUAAAGUUGGCUUAAAGAAGAUAGCAGGCAGUAGUUGGAUAGAAACUAGUAAAGGAAUACAAGGUUUUAUUGCUAUGGACAGAUCUAGCGAAGAUGCUGAAAAAAUAUAUAUAAUAUUGGAAGGGUUGCUUGGGAUGAUGAGAGAAGAAGGGAAAGUUUUGCAGUAUGAGCUUGAUGAGGAGAGUAUUUAUGGUUAAGCAAUAGGAAGAGGCUUUUUUUUUU
rnacentral:misc_RNA from 1 species